rnacentral:rRNA from 1 species
UACGUAGGGUGCGAGCGUUAAUCGGAAUUACUGGGCGUAAAGCGUGCGCAGGCGGUUCGUUGUGUCGGCGGUGAAAGCCCCGGGCUUAACCUGGGAAUGGCCGUUGAAACUGGCGAACUGGAGUGUGGCAGAGGGGGGUGGAAUUCCGCGUGUAGCAGUGAAAUGCGUAGAUAUCAGGAGGAAUACCGAUGGCGAAGGCAGGUCUCUGGGCUGAUACUGACACUCAUGCACGAAAGCGUGGGGAGCAAACAGG